GUCUCCCAGAAGGGCCUCUCAAACGGCCUGGCGUCCCCAGCGAGGGUGAGGGCGACGUCGGGGACCAACAGCCGUGUGUCCUCUCUCCUCGUGUGCUCCGUCUGUCUCCACAGUUGGUACAGGUUCGUCCAACACGUCAUCAAUGUCUCCCUCGCCCUCGCUCUUCUCCCUAACCACGACGAGAGAAGGUCCACCUGAUUUGGAUCUACAGCGGGGCGGGUGCCGGAGAGCUCCUAUGGCUGUAUUGAUCUGGGAGGACGAGGAUAUAGAGGAGAUAGGUUUUCCCCUUAAAUCAUUUUGGAGCUCGGACCUGCUGCACUUGCGCCAAUGUUCAUGAGUAAGUAAAAAAACAGCCCGUUGACCUGGCCGCCUCCCUCGCAUAAGCCCAAGCCGCCUCCGUCGACCGUGGUUCCCGGCGGUUUCUUCUUCCGACGAUAUCAGCGACACUCCUGGUCCCGAUCGUCUCCCUCGCUGCAUAGCCCUCUCGCCAGGUCGUUUCGUUGCUUUGAACCAUCGAGGAUAUAUUUUUACAUCCUGCUUUUUCUAUCAAGAUCAGGUCGCUGAAGCACUUGGAACAAUCGUAGCUUGCUUUUGAAACGUUACAUCCCCUAAAGGACCAGGUUCAAACAGGGACAGCAACGCAUCAAAGAAAAAAAACAGACACCAAAUCUUUCAAGAACUGAAGAUUUUAAUUUCUCAGAUCGUCGACAACCUUUUAAGUUGUGAAAUGCCCUCUGUAUAAUUAUAUAUGUCUGCUCAACUCCUUUAAAGACAUUUCGUGUAAAUAUAGCAAUCUAGGUUUAAAUAUUGUAACAAACAUAUUAGCUCCUGGCACAUCUAACUUAACUCUAUUUUAUAUAUAAGCCUGUUAUGCUCUAUAUUGUCUUUCAUGCUCUAUAUUAUCUAAAAAACACAACUAACAUGAACCAUCUUCAAUACUAAAGUUACAAAUUAUUUCCCACGCGUGCAAGGCGCGCGAACGUUACUAGUGAUACAUAAUCAAAGAUCAGAUUGCAACAACUGACCUCACUCUUUGUCUCUAUCAUGCUCUAACUGGCAGCACAAAAAUUUGCUACAUCUAAUUGGAUAAAGUGGCUUGGCCAAUUCGGUGAGCCACGACUCGGCGGCGGCGACGACGCUUGGGGCGGCCUCCUCGAUGGUGGGGGAGGCGGUGCUCGGGCGCGAGGUGGUACUGGACGGAGAGCUGUGAGCGUGGCUGCAACGAAGAAGGACAAGCAGUGUAGAAGGAGGAGUCUGCAUGCGCCAGCUAUGAGAUGAAGCGAGAAAGGAAACCAAAUACAAAAUACAUUGGGCCAACAUGGGUCGUGUAAUAGUGGAUUGUAGUUCCACAAAUCACAGGGGUGCGUUUGGAUGCGUGUAUCAAGCCAGCCAGACUCUCGUAACGCAGCCAAGCCCUAUGUGGCCAGACUCUAUGCAUGCAACUGGUUACUGUUUGGAUGUCUGUAUGCGUAGCAUCCGGUCCAGCUGAGACUUUGUUUGGUUUGCUGGUUGCACCAAGCCCCGUUA